AACGAACGCUGGCGGCAGGCCUAACACAUGCAAGUCGAGCGCGCCCUUCGGGGUGAGCGGCGGACGGGUGAGUAACGCGUGGGAACGUGCCCUUCUCUGCGGAAUAGCCUCGGGAAACUGAGAGUAAUACCGCAUACGCCCUUUGGGGGAAAGAUUUAUCGGUGAAGGAUCGGCCCCCGUUGGAUUAGGUAGUUGGUGGGGUACUGGCCCACCAAGCCUUUGAUCGGUAGCUGGUUUGUGAGGAUGGCCGGCCACAGUGGGAGUGAGAUACGGUACAGACUCCUACGGGCGGUAGCAGUGGGGAAUGUUGUAAAAGGGGCGGAAGCCUGAUUCAGCAACGCCUCGUGCGGGAUGACGGACUGAGGGUUGUAACCCGCUUUCGCCUGUGACGAAGCGUGAGUGCCGGUAAUGGGUAAAGAAGCACCGGCUAACUACGUG
rnacentral:rRNA from 1 species